UUCCUACGGGAGGCAGCAGUGGGGAAUAUUGGACAAUGGGGGGAACCCUGAUCCAGCCAUGCCGCGUGUGUGAAGAAGGCCUUUUGGUUGUAAAGCACUUUAAGCGAGGAGGAGGCUACCGAGAUUAAUACUCUUGGAUAGUGGACGUUACUCGCAGAAUAAGCACCGGCUAACUCUGUGCCAGCAGCCGCGGUAAUACAGAGGGUGCAAGCGUUAAUCGGAUUUACUGGGCGUAAAGCGCGCGUAGGUGGCCAAUUAAGUCAAAUGUGAAAUCCCCGAGCUUAACUUGGGAAUUGCAUUCGAUACUGGUUGGCUAGAGUAUGGGAGAGGAUGGUAGAAUUCCAGGUGUAGCGGUGAAAUGCGUAGAGAUCUGGAGGAAUACCGAUGGCGAAGGCAGCCAUCUGGCCUAAUACUGACACUGAGGUGCGAAAGCAUGGGGAGCAAACAGGAUUAGAUACCCUGGUAGUCCAUGCCGUAAACGAUGUCUACUAGCCGUUGGGGUCUUUGAGACUUUAGUGGCGCAGCUAACGCGAUAAGUAGACCGCCUGGGGAGUACGGUCGCAAGACUAAAACUCAAAUGAAUUGACGGAA
rnacentral:rRNA from 1 species